rnacentral:rRNA from 1 species
GACGAACGCUGGCGGCGUGCUUAACACAUGCAAGUCGAACGGAAAGGCCCUGCUCUUGUGGGGUGCUCGAGUGGCGAACGGGUGAGUAACACGUGAGUAACCUGCCCCUGACUUUGGGAUAACUUCAGGAAACUGGGGCUAAUAUCGCAUAGGAGCUCCUGCUGCAUGGUGGGGGUUGGAAAGUUUCGGCGGUUGGGGAUGGACUGGCGGCUUACCAGCUUGUUUGUGGGGUAGUUGCUGACCAAGGCUUUGACGGGUAGCCGGCCUGAGAGGGUGACCGGCCACAUUGGGACUGAGGUACGGCCCAGACGCGUACGGGACGCAGCAGUGGGGAAUAUUGCACAAUGAGCGGAAGCCUGAUGCAGCAACGCCGCGUGCGGGAUGACGGCCUACGAGUUGUAAACCGCUUUCGCCUGUGACGAAGCGUGAGUGACGGUAAUGGGUAAAGAAGCACCGGCUAACUACGUG